rnacentral:lncRNA from 1 species
UCAAGGAUUAAAUUUCAGCAUUGUUUAUAAAAACAAAACACCUAUGACCACAGCCUACAACUAAGUCAACCUAAGACUGGAAAAUGGUUAAAUGAAUGGUGAGUGGCCAUCCCACAAAGUAUUCUGCAGCCACGAAAAGACUGAGCCAAAAAGGUAUGAACCGACUGAAAAGAAUGACCUCCAGUUCCCAUCGUGGCUCAGUGGUUAAUGAACCCGACUAGUAACCACGAGGUUGUGGAUUUGAUCCCUGGCCUCGCUCAGUGGGUUAAGGAUGUGGCGUUGCCGUGAGCUGUGGUGUGGGUCGCAGAUGCAGCUCAGAUCCCACAUUGCUGUGGCUGUGGUGUAGGCCAGCAGCUGCAGCUCCGAUUGGACCCCUAGCCUGGGAACCUCCAUAUGCCACAGCCCUAAAAAGACAGAAAAAAAAAAAAAAAAGAAAAAAGCCCACGGCAGAACAGGCUGUUUGGCAUGGCCGAUUUUUGUACAAAAACAAAGUGAAAUAAAUAGAUGAAAAUAAGACCAAACCAAAGGCAAACAGAUGAACAAACUUGCCUCUGUGUCUGGGAAUAUAUGCACAUGCGUGUGUCCCGGGAUGUAUGGGGGGAGAUGGACCAAAAUGUUGGAAUAAGUUACUUUGAAGAAAUGGGAGUAGAGGGAAAAGAAAUCAUCUUACUGUGGAUAACAGCUAAAUAUCGGAGACAAUCUAAGUGUCCACCUGUGGGCAAUGGGUUAAAUAAAUCAUGAUAUGUCCAUACAACAGAAUAUUACAGACAGUGAAACACCACCAGGACACUAUUAUGUGAAAAAAGCCAGCUGCAGAAUCCUAUGUAUAUUAUCAUUUGUAUGAAUGGCAUCAGAGAAAUAUGCCUCUGUGUGUGUGGGGGGGGGGUAACAGACACAGAAUAUUCUAGAAGGAUACACAAGAACUAGAAACAGUAGACGCCCCUGGAUAAGAAAAUUGAGUCACUAGGAAGAGGAAGAAAAAAAAAUCAUUUUCUCUACCCUUUUAUAACUGAGUUUCAUCCCAUGCACAUGUAUAAUCUUUUCCAAAAUUGUAAUAUGAUUUAAAAAUACACUAGGAUCGAGAAAUGUGAACCUCAGUGAGGGGAAACCUCCCUACUGAAAUGGAGUCAGGAGGCCAGAAGAGGGAGCUCUCCUGCAGGGCCACGCAUGUCAGUUGCAGGAAGAAUUGUCAUCACAGACCCCAACAGAAGAGUUAUCAACAGGAAGGAGUCGCCAAUCACAGGAGUGACCAAUCACAGGCCACAAGAGGAAAGAGGCACAUUGCCUUCCAUCAGAAACUAGCGACCCAGCAACUCGGCUGGGUGAGAAACCAUCAUCACCCAGAAUUCCCACUUUUCUCUGAUGGCCUUGCAUUCAAAAUACCCCUUCCCUGGAGUUCCUGUCAUGGCUCAGUGGUUAGCAAACCUGACUGGCAUCCGUGAGGACACCGGUUUGGUUCCUGGCCUUGCUCAGUGGGUUAAGGAUCCGGCGUUGCCAUGAGUUGUGCUGUAGGUCGCAGACAUGGCUCGGAUGUGGCGUUGCUUUGGCUGUGGCCUUGGAAGGCGGCGACGGCUCCAAUUGGACCCCUAGCCCAGGAACCUCCAUAUGCCACAGGUUGCGGCCCUAAAAGACAAAAAAAAAA